rnacentral:rRNA from 1 species
UACGUAGGGUGCGAGCGUUGUUCGGAAUUACUGGGCGUAAAGGGCGCGUAGGCGGCCUUCUAAGUCAGACGUGAAAUCCCCCGGCUUAACUGGGGAACUGCGUCUGAUACUGGAUGGCUUGAGAUUGGGAGAGGGAUGCGGAAUUCCAGGUGUAGCGGUGAAAUGCGUAGAUAUCUGGAGGAACACCGGUGGCGAAGGCGGCAUCCUGGACCAACACUGACGCUGAGGAGCGAAAGCCAGGGGAGCAAACGGG